CGUGCACGGCACGCACCCUCCUUUGGGGCGGGCUCGGGCCGCGGAGUCCCGGGGGAGGAGGCUCGGGGCUGGCCGGGCACUCGACACGGGCCGGGACCCCGUCGCGGAAAACAAUUCAACAGGCCCAAGUCAGAGACUGGACAGAUAACACUUGACCUUGGGAUAUGAUGAUGGUCUGGAUCCUGCAGAGGCUAAAACUGAGAUGUCGAGAUCUGGGCUAUUCUUGACCAUCUGGGCAGGCUGGAAUCGCAGCAGGCACAUCUGCCUUGGGCGGCUGUUUGCUGCUAUGGAAGGAUAAGGAAGAAGGCUGGAGUGCUCACAUGGGGCUAGUGACCAGAAUGGAACACAUUUGAGAGAUGAUGAAGUUUAACUGCUGGACCAAUAUGAAACUCUGGUA
rnacentral:lncRNA from 1 species